UACAGAGACCUCAAGCGUUAUCCGGAAUCAUUGGGCGUAAAGCGUACCGAUAGGUGGUUAUGCAAGUCAGACGUGAAAUCUCCGAGCUCAACUCGGAAUCUGUCGUUUGAAACUGCACAACUAGAGGGGCAAAGAGGAAGCUGGAACGAACGGUGUAGUAGUGAAAUGCGUUGAUAUCGUUCGGAACACCAAUAGCGUAGGCAGGCUUCUGGGUGCCACCUGACACUGCUAGGACGAAAGCGUGGGGAGCGAACAGG
rnacentral:rRNA from 1 species